AGAAGAGCUUAGAAAUUAGAAACGGCUGAAAAUACUAAACACUAAAAAGUUUGAAGAAUAAGAAGAAAAAUACAAAAAAACCAAUCACAAAAUACUGUUACAUUGAAGCUUUUUGUGUAAUUCUUUGGGUUUUAAAGUAUAAGGUACUUCUCGAAUAAUGGCUGACUUUUGAAGUGUAAUGUGCAAACGUGAACAUGGAUUUAUGAUGAAAAUUAUUCGAGUUACUGACUUCUUUUUUUUCCCUGUUUAUCCAUCUACUCACAUCUUGUAAUAUUUUAAUUUUAGGUGAAUUCUAUUAGUUUCUUUGUUGUGGAUGUGGUAUAAAAUGUUUGAUGUUUGGUCUUUGUUUGUUUUCUACUGAAAGCUGUAGAUUUUGGGAUUUAAAAUAGUUGGCCUGCUGAUCUUACAAGAUGUUGCUCAUUGCUUAUAUGAAAGAAGUUUGGAUUAAAGCUCAUUGUAAUUGUUGGGUUAGUUUGGGAAUUGUAUGAAGUGAAAUGCUGCAUAAUUCUGCUUUCAUGU